GGUCACAUCACAUUGGAACACCAGUUCCCAUAUGAUCACCAAAGUUAAUGUCAAAUUUGGUCAGUACCGACAUGGGUGACCUCUUGGGAAUACCAGGUGCUGUAAG